UGAGCAGGGACCAACCCAUGAGCGCAGGCCGCUGGGCGUGGCCUGACUGCUUCCGUGGCCACCUCUGGGAGUUGUAGUUUCUGUUGAUUUGCAGCGCGCAACCCCUGCGUCCCACUCUAUCACCACCAAAGAAGACUUAAUCUUAUUAUCAAAGUUACCUGCAGCCUCUUGGGGUAUUCUCUCACUUUAACCUGUAUUGAGCCUCAGUAUAGAAAUACAUUCUGACUUGAACAUGAAAACGUCAGGAUUGCUGUUAACAACCUAGCAGUCAUCCUCUGAGACAGGAUCAGCUGUUCACCCCUGCAAAUGUCAGGCCUGUGAGCUUCCACGGAGCCUCCUGCCUCCUCUUCCGCCCAUCUAGGUACAGGAGUGCUGGGAUUAUGAACGACUGACUACACCACUCAGCUUUUACUUGAGUUCUGAGGACCCAAACUCAGGUCUUCACAGAUGGUGCAGCAAGCGCAUUACCCACUGAGCCAUCUCCUCAGCCCUUUUGCAUGUUUUCUUGCAAGUGUUCUGCAUUUUUAAGCAGAUGUAAUAGGCGUUUGGAGGGUAUUUUUGCUUUGUUUUGGCUUUGUUUUGUUUUGGGUUAGU